CCCGUCCUCCUUGGCUACCUCAGUUGGCCUUCAGACAGUGACGCGGGAGGUGCUACGCUCUUCGCUCCUCCUCAACACCCUUCAAAACACCAAUAACACCAAUUUGACCGUGGACACCAAAAAAAUUACAGAAAUAGAGAAGAUGAAGAGGAAAUAGAAGAAGAAGAGGAAGAA